rnacentral:rRNA from 1 species
CGUUAGCGGCGGACGGGUGAGUAACACGUGGGUAACCUACCUAUAAGACUGGGAUAACUCCGGGAAACCGGGGCUAAUACCGGAUAACACAUGAGACCGCAUGGUUUCAUGAUGAAAGACGGUUUUGCUGUCACUUAUAGAUGGACCCGCGGCGUAUUAGCUAGUUGGUAAGGUAACGGCUUACCAAGGCAACGAUACGUAGCCGACCUGAGAGGGUGAUCGGCCACACUGGAACUGAGACACGGUCCAG